rnacentral:rRNA from 1 species
AUGGGGGUACGGGAGUGCCAAAUAUCCAAAAGGUAUAUUGCAAGGGAAGGAACAUUGUGGAGAAAAGUUAUAGAUGCUAAGUAUAAUACUAGAAAUCCUAAUGAGCUCUGCUGCCAUGACUCUCGCCCCUCUCGGUUCUGGAAAGGGGUUAUGUGGGCCAUGCAAGCUGUUAAAUCUGGAUACAAGUGGCAUGUAGGUAAUGGUAGAUCAGUUCGUUUUGGGGAAGGCAUUUGGUUUGGCAACUCUCCUCUGGCCACACAAUUUUGGGAUAUCUAUUGUGUGGUCAAUGAGACAAAUAAGACUGUUUGA